rnacentral:rRNA from 1 species
UGGGGAAUAUUGCACAAUGGGCGCAAGCCUGAUGCAGCCAUGCCGCGUGUAUGAAGAAGGUCUUCGGGUUGUAAAGUACUUUCAGCGGGGAGGAAGGGAGUAAAGUUAAUACCUUUGCUCACUGACGUUACCCGCAGAAGAAGCACCGGCUAACUCCGUGCCAGCAGCCGCGGUAAUACGGAGGGUGCAAGCGUUAAUCGGAAUUACUGGGCGUAAAGCGCACGCAGGCGGUUUGUUAAGUCAGAUGUGAAAUCCCCGGGCUCAACCUGGGAACUGCAUCUGAUACUUGCAAGCUUGAGUCUCGUAGAGGGAGGUAGAAUUCCAGGUGUAGCGGUGAAAUGCGUAGAGAUCUGGAGGAAUACCGGUGGCGAAGGCGGCCCCCUGGACGAAGACUGACGCUCAGGUGCGAAAGCGUGGGGAGCAAACAGG